rnacentral:rRNA from 1 species
GGUGAAAUACCACCCUUGCAACACUAGAGUUCUAACUGAGGUCCGUUAUCCGGAUCCAGGACACUGCUAGGCGGGUAGUUUGACUGGGGCGGUCGCCUCCUAAAGAGUAACGGAGGCGUGCAAAGGUUCCCUCAGCCUGGUUGGAAAUCAGGCGUAGAGUGCAAAGGCAUAAGGGAGCUUGACUGCGAGACCGACAGGUCGAGCAGGUGCGAAAGCAGGCCUUAGUGACCCGGUGGCUCCACGUGGGAGGGCCAUCGAUCAUCGGAUAAAAGGUACGCCGGGGAUAACAGACUGAUCCCGCCCAAGAGUCCACAUCGACGGCGGGGAUUGGUACCUCGAUGUCGGCUCAUCGCAUCCUGGGGCUGGAGAAGGUCCCAAGGGUUGGGCUGUUCGCCCAUUAAAGCGGUACGCGAGCUGGGUUUAGAACGUCGUGAGACAGUUCGGUCCCUAUCUGCAGCGGGCGCAGGAGACUUGAGGGGGUCUGCUCAUAGUACGAGAGGACCUGAGUGGACAAGCCUCUGGUGUACCAGUUGUCGCGCCAGCGGCAGUGCUGGGUAGCCAUGCUUGGAAGGGAUAACCGCUGAAGGCAUCUAAGCGGGAAGCCUGCCCCAAGAUUAGGUCUCCCGAACCGUUAAGGUUCCUGAAGGUCCCUCGAAGACUACGAGGUUGAUAGGCCCAAGGUGUAAGCUCCGUAAGGGGUUGAGCUGAUGGGUACUAAUCGACCGUGAGGCUUAACUGC